rnacentral:lncRNA from 1 species
UCACCUGCCAGCACUCGCUCCGACCGCGCACUCCCCCCGCCCUCAGUCUCAAAACCCCCCACCCCCGCGAGCCCCCGAAUUCGCUCGUCAUUUUUAAACCCGGUUCAUUGAAGUGUUGAAAAAGAAAUAUAAAAAAGUUCUAAAGUUUUUUGGCUCCAAGUUUAUGGAAGUUGUGUGUGCCAGUUAAUAGCUCAGCGGAUUUUCAUAUCUGGGAUGUUCAGUUUCAUCAACGGCAGAUAUUAUUCACACGAAAGGUGUGACCGAUUGGAUCCGUCAUAAUGGAGGGCCCUGUGACUUAAUGAAGAAACGCCGGAGACUAACCUUCCAAAUUCGUCAGUGAGUUGCAGUGCAAACACAACAACAUGGUGACAUGAUAUCAUGACCUGAAACAGAUUAAUCGGGAUUCUCGGGGAAUGGAACUAUAAAUUAAAUACUUCAUUAAGGAACUGUAAACCCCCGAAUCAUAAUGUAGGGCAACUAAAAUUUAGGGUAUUCUAAAUUCGGUUUAUAUCCGCGAAGUUAGUGCUUUUAGAGAGCCUCCUUCUAUUGACGCGCAGAAUCUCUUCUUUUUCAU